UACGACCAUAUCACGUUGAAACACCGGUUUCCAUACGAUCACCGAUAUUAAGCAACUUCAAGCCUGGUCAGUAAAUAGAUGGGUGACCGCUUGGGAAUACCAAAUGCU